ACAAUCCACCGCACCUGCAAGCAGUGAGUGUGCUCUGUGCGUGCAGGGACAGCCAGGCUGAGGGUGUCCAGCCCAGCACAGCCCUGGGAGCAGCAGUGCAGCCCCACACACACGGCAGGGCACACCAAACCCGCUCCUGGCUCUGGCAGGGCUGCACAAGCCUUCCUGCAGACCUGCCUGAAACUGAGGCCUGGGGCGCGGCUGACGUUUUUGGAAAGAGUUCAGGAAUUCUGAAGGAUAGAACCUCAAAACAGAGGGCAAAAGCCUGACUUUGGAAAUGAAUACACCCUGGAAGCACGAGUGCCUGAAGCCCAGCCAGACAGAGCCAGCUGACAUCUGAAGAGCUCUGGAGCUGGCAGAUGCUCUCUCUCAGAGCUGGCUGCGUCCAGCACCCAUCCAAAGGUGCAAUCCCAUCACCUCCCCCUGGAGCUCCCCACGGCCAGCUGGGCAACAAGGAAAGACAGAUGCCCUACAGAAGGAUGUGCUUCUCUGGGAAUGGAGCCCCACUCAGAGGAAAAUCCCUGCGACUGGGUCAUGUAACAAGAGGUCUAAAAACCCUCCUGGAAACAGCUGACAGCUCCUGGCUUUAGAAUCCUAACAGUCUGCUAAUGUAAAGAUUCCCAGUUUUCCAUCGAGCCCAGCACAGAGGAGGGGAUGGGUGUUUUCCUGCCUGAGUGAGGAAUGCAGACCCCUGUGCCCCCCAGGACAAUGUUUCCCUUGUUCCCCUUCCCAAGGGGGUGGCUGGAAGAUGCUCCGGCCCCAAGGAGAUCAAAGAGCUGCCAGGACAGGCUGGUCAAGCAUUUCCCUUUCAUCUGAAUAUAUUGUUUGUGAUUCUGAGCCAUUCCCAAAGGUGAAGAAGGCUUCUAAUCAUUGCAGGAAGAGCCCUUGGAGAUGACAGCAAGAGAAAAAAAGAAAAUUAAGGAUUGCUUACAAGCACCAGGGAGCAGCAGGUUACAUAUUUGGAGCAAACUGCAUUUGUUGAUUUUACUUAAACAGGUUUCUAACAAAGAGAAAUUAGAAAUUCAGGCAGCAUAAAGGAAACAAUCACUUAACACUGGUACCUUAUAAUGGAACAGGGGCUGCUUUAUUGCCAGGAUAUCUAUUAUAUUGUAAGGUGUGCAUUUUGUAAUGUUUUGCAUUUCUAAGAAUUAACACUGCACUACAAUAAAAAGAACUUAAAUUAUUUUCA
rnacentral:lncRNA from 1 species